CUUAAGCUCCAGUAGGUUGAAAAAAAUGUUGAAAUCUAUAACGACAAGAAAUUCUCAUUGCAUAAAUUCUGACCUUCAUAUACGCUCAUAUUCAGAAGAGGCCAAGACAACAUGAAGGUCAAUUCUUGCAGGUGACAAUUAAAAAUAGUCAUGACGUAAGAAAAUGUCGAUAAAGUCCAUAACUGUAUGAUUAAAAUCCGAUGAAAUAAUAGAAGAUAUGAGGAUUGCAAACGAUUCAGAAAUUAUACUUACAUUAAGUUAAUCUAUAAGUUUUCAGCGAUUGCUGACUGAAGACAAAAAUGGACACGACUUAGUUGACAUUGUUUUGGGAAAAUUGCACAAACUUUAAUUUGCGUCUACAUGAUUCUUUAGAUUUGGCACCUUUUACAUUUCAAUUCGCUUACCCCUUUUUGAAGAGACUCUUUGUAUCCCUUUCAUGUUUGCUCCUUCUCACGACUUUGCAAAAUGCUAGUGUCCAAUUAACGUUGAAGUCGACGGAAAUUGAUGACUUCACUGGGAGCAUUAACUAUCGACGUGAAAAACUGCUGUACGUUUACGUUAAAUACUUAACCCUUGUAUAAAAAUUUAGACAUA